rnacentral:rRNA from 1 species
ACGGAAGGCAGCAGCUAAGAAUAUUCCGCAAUGGACGAAAGUCUGACGGAGCGACGCCGCGUGGAUGAUGAAGGCCGGAAGGUUGUAAAAUCCUUUUAUAACUGAGGAAUAAGUAAGGUGAGAGAAACGCCUUAUGGUGACUGUAGGUUAUGAAUAAGCACCGGCUAAUUACGUGCCAGCAGCCGCGGUAACACGUAAGGUGCGAGCGUUGUUCGGAAUCAUUGGGCGUAAAGGGCAUGUAGGCGGUCUGUCAAGCCAGGCGUGAAAGCCAGGGGCUCAACCCCUGAACUGCGCUUGGAACUGGCGGACUGGAGUCGCUGAGGGGGAACCGGAAUUCCUGGUGUAGGGGUGAAAUCUGUAGAUAUCAGGAAGAACACCGAUGGCGAAGGCAGGUUUCCAGCAGACGACUGACGCUGAGGUGCGAAGGUGCGGGGAGCAAACAGGAUUAGAUACCCUGGUA